CCCUGAUGACUCAGUGGUAAAGUAUCUGCCUGCCUAGCAGGAGAUUCAGGUUCAAUCCCUGUGUCAGGGA
rnacentral:tRNA from 1 species